CCUCCCCAUAUGCUACAUACUAAAUCAGUGCUACGGUUUACUUCCUCUUGGACAAAAUGAAGAUAGCAGAGAAGGAAAGGAAAGUAAAAGUCAUAUAAAAGUGGGUCUGGAGUAAACAACAGACGAACUGAGCUAUUUUUGAAAGAACAUGACCACCUUCAAAAAGUUUUUCAGGGGUGAAGAGAAACUAGAAUAAGGAGAUAACUGACACAAACAGAAAAAGCCUC
rnacentral:lncRNA from 1 species